rnacentral:rRNA from 1 species
UCNUCUAGAUUAGAGUUUGAUCAUGGCUCAGAAUCAACGCUGGCGGCGUGCCUAACACAUGCAAGUCGAGCGAGAAAAGGGGAGCAAUCCCCUGAGUACAGCGGCGCACGGGUGAGUAACACGUGGGUAAUCUGCCCUGGAGUGGGGAAUAACACCGGGAAACCGGUGCUAAUACCGCAUACGAUCACAGAGUCUGCGGAUUUUGUGAUGAAAGGAGCAAUUCGCUCUAGGAGGAGCCCGCGGCUGAUUAGCUAGUUGGUGAGGUAAUGGCUCACCAAGGCAACGAUCAGUAUCCGGUCUGAGAGGACGGUCGGACACACUGGAACUGAGACACGGUCCAGACUCCUACGGGAGGCAGCAGUGGGGAAUUUUUUGGCAAUGGGGGCAACCCUGACCAAGCAACGUCCGCGUGGGUGAUGAAGUCUACUUGGGACGUAAAACCCUUUCGACGGGGACGAAACCGCAAGGUUGACGGUACCCGUAGAAGAAGCCCCGGCUAACUCCGUGCCAGCAGCCGCGGUAAUACGGGGGGGGCAAGCGUUGUUCGGGAAUUACUGGGCGUAAAGGGCGCGUAGGCGGUGCCUCUAAGUUCGGAUGUGAAAACUCUGGGGCUCAACCCAAGAGCCUUGCAUCCGAAACUGGA